CUCAGGUAUGGUGGCAUGUGCCUGUAGUCCCAGCUACAUGGGAGGCUGAGGCAGGAAGAUUGCUUGAGCCCGGGAGUUCUGGGCUACAGUGCACUAUGCCAAUUGGUGUCCACACUAAGCUCGGCAUUAACAUUGUGAUCUCCUGGUAGCAGGGGACUACCAGGUUGCCUAAAGAGGGGUGAUCCGGCCCAGGUCAGAAAUGGAGCAGGUCAAAACUCGCAUGCUGAUUAGUAGUGGGAUCGUGCCUGUGAAUAGCCACUGCAUUUCCACCUGGGAAACAUAGUGAGACCCUGUCUCUG
rfam:Gorilla gorilla gorilla genomic chromosome, chr5, whole genome shotgun sequence